AUAGACGUUAGCUCAGUGGUUAGAGCACAGGCCUCUGGCUCUCGGGUCCGCGAGUUCGAGUCCCGUCGUAUACU
rnacentral:tRNA from 1 species